UACGUAGGGUGCGAGCGUUAAUCGGAAUUACUGGGUGUAAAGCGUGCGUAGGCGGUUCGUUAAGUUCGUUGUGAAAGCCCCGGGCUCAACCUGGGAAUGGCAAUGGAAACUGGCGGGCUUGAGUAUGGCAGAGGGGGGUGGAAUUCCGCGUGUAGCAGUGAAAUGCGUAGAGAUGCGGAGGAACACCGAUGGCGAAGGCAGCCCCCUGGGCCAAUACUGACGCUCAGGCACGAAAGCGUGGGGAGCAAACAGG
rnacentral:rRNA from 1 species